rnacentral:misc_RNA from 1 species
AGAAUUUUGAAUUAAUUUGGAGAUUGCACGUUGAAAUUAUAAUUUUAAAAAAAAGUUCAAAAAUAAAUCAUAUUUAUUUUAUUUUUAGAUCAAAUUUAAGCUUAUCGGAUCAAAUUUACAUGUUAUUUUUUUUUUUGAUAAAAUUAUAUAGAUCGUCAGGUUAGAUCAGGUUAAAUAUUUACAAAAUUAUAAUUUGCAAACAGAAGAUCAAGAGAAAAUCAAAUGAGAAUUUACCCUCGAAUCCAAAGAAAAAAGUAAUUAUAAAAAGAACAAAAAAGGAGAGGGAGAGGCUUGUUGUCUAAUAAAAAUAUGUUGAGAAAAAAAAAAUAUGAAUACCUAAAAGGAUAUGCUUUUAGACUUCCAUUUUCAACUUGCUAACUUUAUAAUCUUAAAAAAAAAAAAAAAUUGUAUCAAGCUUAAUUGUCUCCAUAAACCUCUCCCCAUCAUCCAAAAGCCCUAGCGGCCUACACAGAAGAACUCAACACAACACGGCAACCUCAAAUUUCUUCUUUUCCUUACAAGAACAGAAGCAUACCAGAAAAUCUGUCUUAAGAAAGAUUGAAUUUUUCUUUGUCCUCUUAAGGGAAAUAAAAUGGAUGAAAGAGAAAGCAGCUCACUUGUACCAGAAUCAGUCAUGGACUCUGCUAAGACUACCUUGGCCGACCUCGAACGAGUACAGACCCACUUGCUUCAGUUCCUCUCUCUCUCUGACCCGGAUGUCCUCGCUGAGACGCCCCCUCUCCAACGCGCACAGUCUCUCUUUCUGCUUGCCAAGGCCACUACUAUUCUUUUCUCAUUGAGAUUGAGAUGCAGUGGAAUUGACCCAGAUGAGCAUCCAGUGAAGACGGAGCUUGAGAGGUUGAAUUUGUACCAAGACAAGCUUGAACGGUCCAUAGAUUUGAGUAAAGCACCAUUGAAAUCUUCUGCCACCUUAAAUUACCAGGCUGCAACCCGUUUCAUUGAGCAUUCUCUGCCUGACCUUACCUCUGAACAGAAGAAAAGAAUGAGAGCUAUCAGUAAAGGAGAAGGAACCAGGAUAAAGUAUUUGGAGAGGAAGAUCCAAAAGAAGAGGAAAUAUCAGUCAUCUGAAAAACAUUCAGUCCAAACAGCUGCCUCAGAAUUUCUUGAGCUUCUUGGUGAUAAUGCAAAUGGUUUUAAGGGACCUAUGCAAAUUGACGCGUUAGAUGAUGAUGAUCUGCAUGUUGGCUGAUAUCCUAAUUUGUCCUGGUAUAUAUUGCUUUUGUAUUAAGGAUUCAUUUCUCAUAACCUUUUUGGUUUCAUUUUCAUCAUAUUAUUGUUAUCUUAAUGUUCUCAAAACAUGCAUGGAAAAGGUUCAAUUUGUAGUUGCUGAUAGCAAGAGUGUCUUGGCUGCAUAUGUUACCUCCUUAACUGUGAAUCUAUUACUUUCUUUGUUAAUUUCAUGAACGUGAAUAACUCUGAUUUUAUUAAUCAAUUAGUUAUAGGCUGUGCAAUUGCUGGAUAUGUGCAACUCAUGAAUACAUUGCUUUGUAGUUUUGUAAAGGGGUCUAAACAAGGCAGUUGCUAAUUAUGCAUGUGAUGAUGUGAAAGAGAAUGUGAAACAAAAGUUGUUGCUUUAUAUGUAUCAAAUAUUACCGCUAGUUUUAGUUCCCAAUGUAUUGCUUUUUUUUAUUAUUGGAAUUAAUUUUUCAUUCAAGCUGAGACUUGAGAGGUUACCUAGGUGUGGAUCACUCUAGUACCUGAAUGAAAACAGUAACAAAAAAUGUCCUUGUUUGGGAAUGGGGUAUAGUGGGUGUAGGUUUCUUUUUAGAUUGCUUGAUAAGAAUAAAAUAGAUUAUCCAUGUUGUAAUGGAAUAUAGAAAAAUAUAAUGUAAUGGAUUAGAACAAGGAUAACCACAAAAUUUUCUACUAUCCUAUACUUAUAAUAAAAUAGUUUCAUUUGGAAAAUACUAUGUUACUGCUUCAAUACUAUAGAAAAUAUUCAAAUCCCAAAUUUUAUGGCAUAGUAAUGAUUAUAAUAUUGUUUUUUUUAAAUAUAAAUUUUAAAUAAUAGUUAAGAAGAGAUGUGUUGUCUAAGCCUUUUAUAUGAAUAAAAAAUAGUAAAUCUAAAUUCAAAAAUUUUAUUAUAAAAAAAUUUUAGUAUUAACAUUUUUAUAUAAAAAAAUGUUGGAAUGGAGCAAGAAGUAGAAAACUGUCUUCCACAACUGAACACGGGCGUUAUUGUUGCAAAUCACUAGCUAUAUAUACAUUAUCUGGAUGUGCAACUUUUUCUGGCAACAUUGAUCAAUUGUGCUGUUUUUGAGAAGUACCAGGUUAAAGACCCACUAGGAUGUUUGCAUUUGAGUUUCCUCAUGUUUUGAGGACUGCUGCUGGUGUUUCUCAUCUGCUGGUGUUUCUCAUCUGCUUGAAUGGUAUGAAUGGUGCUUUGGCCUAGUUGUGAAGGAUUGCUUUCCUUGUUUCUGUGGUAAAAACGCAUGCUUUCAGUGUUUGAUAUUAGCACACAGCGUGGACAGAUAAUGGAGGGCUCUGGGAAGUCAUUUGUUUUGUAGAUGAUGUCUAUUAUUAUGCAAUCUGUUAUGCCAUUUCUUUGAAAAUUAUCAAACAUUUACUGGAACUAUUUGUGGAUGAUUGUAUGAAAUAAAUCUGAUUGCCCUCAUGUAAAAUGAAUACCAUAUCAAUAUUAAUGUCGGUCUCUACAUAAUCCAUGCUCAUUACUGUAAAAAUUUCCCUACCAUAAAUUAAAAAUUUAAGCAGCUGGCAAUACCCUCAUUACUGUAAUAAAAUAGGAAACAAAAAUCCUUCCAAGCCCAGGAAUUCUCUCAUCAAAACAAACCCCAAAGCAUAAGUCCCAGUGACACCACCAAGCUGCCUUUCAAGCUUGUAGCGGCACUAGUUGGGGCGACUGCAGGACCCUCAAACUCUUCUGGGGAAGGAGCUGGAGAAAUGCCAGUGUACCUGUGCCUUUGAGACAGCACUACCACAAUCAACUUCUGGCCCUUCACGCAGUGCCCCCCUGCUCCACUGAUGAAAUAGAAUGGCCCGGAUCGAUCGAGUUUCACCUUGGUGUUCCCGUCCUUGUGCUCUACAAUUGGGUUUGAGGUAUUGCAGCUAAGGUAAGCCUCCCUAGUCACUUGCAACACCGAGUCCUUUUGACUGUCGUACUUCCACACUGAGAGAUCAAGAAGAAAAGGGUAAUGAUGUUAGAAAUACAUUGCUGAAUAGCAAUGAAAAAAGGAAGCACUAGGAAAAGAAGAUGGUACCAAGAGAGUCGCCAAUGCGAAAACGAGCACUUUCAGCCCAGUUGUUUAGAGAAUCAGAUUCAGAAGAUGGGAUUUUCCAUGCAUCUGUUUUCCCACCAAUCAGAAUUUCUUUAGCUUCUGAGAAG